rnacentral:rRNA from 1 species
GGAAUAUUGGUCAAUGGACGGAAGUCUGAACCAGCCAAGUCGCGUGAGGGAUGAAGGUCCUACGGAUUGUAAACCUCUUUUGUCGGGGAGCAAUAAGGCGUAUGCAUACGCCGAUGAGCGUACCCGUCGAAUAAGCAUCGGCUAACUCCGUGCCAGCAGCCGCGGUAAUACGGAGGAUGCGAGCGUUAUCCGGAUUUAUUGGGUUUAAAGGGUGCGCAGGCGGCGUGUCAAGUCAGCGGUCAAAUGACGGGGCUCAACCCCGUUCCGCCGUUGAUACUGAUGUGCUGGAGUGCGCGCGACGAUGGCGGAAUGCGUGGUGUAGCGGUGAAAUGCAUAGAUAUCACGCAGAACUCCGAUUGCGAAGGCAGCCGUCGAGCGCGCUACUGACGCUGAGGCACGAAAGCGUGGGUAUCGAACA